rnacentral:rRNA from 1 species
GUUGUAUAGUCAAGUAAUUAAGUGCAUGUGGUGGAUGCCUUGGCAGUCAGAGGCGAUGAAAGACGUAAUAGCCUGCGAUAAGCUCCGGGGAGGCGGCAAAUAUCCUUUGAUCCGGAGAUUUCUGAAUGGGGGAACCCACCCGCUAUAAGGCGGGUAUCAUAAGCUGAAUACAUAGGCUUAUGAAGCGAACGAGGGGAAGUGAAACAUCUCAGUACCCUUAGGAAAAGAAAUCAA